rnacentral:misc_RNA from 1 species
AGCAGCCGCGGUAAUUCCAGCUCCAAUAGCGUAUAUUAAAGUUGUUGCAGUUAAAAAGCUCGUAGUUGAACUUCGGGGUUCACCCAUUGGUCAGGCUUAAUUGUCUGUACUGGUGAGAUGAAUCUCUACCUUCUGAGGAACUUUCAUGCCAUUUAUUUGGUGUGAUGGGAAAUCAGGACUGUUACUUUGAAAAAUUAGAGUGUUUAAAGCAGGCUAACGUCUGAAUACAUUAGCAUGGAAUAAUGAAAUAGGACGGAUUGAUUCUAUUUCGUUGGUUUCUAGGGUCACCGUAAUGAUUAAUAGGGAUAGUUGGGGGCAUUAGUAUUCAAUUGUCAGAGGUGAAAUUCUUGGAUUUAUUGAAGACUAACUACUGCGAAAGCAUUUGCCAAGGAUGUUUUCAUUAAUCAAGAACGAAAGUUAGGGGAUCGAAGACGAUCAGAUACCGUCGUAGUCUUAACCAUAAACUAUGCCGACUAGGGAUCGGAUGAUUGUUAAUUUUUUAAUGUACUCAUUCGGUACC